GAUCCUGGCUUAGGAUGAACGCUAGCUACAGGCUUAACACAUGCAGGUCGAGGGGCAGCAUGAACUUAGCUUGCUAAGUUUGAUGGCGACCGGCGCACGGGUGAGUAACACGUAUCCAACCUUCCGUUUACUCAGGGAUAGCCUUUCGAAAGAAAGAUUAAUACCUGAUAGUAUGGUGAGAUUGCAUGAUAGCACCAUUAAAGAUUUAUUGGUAAACGAUGGGGAUGCGUUCCAUUAGG
rnacentral:rRNA from 1 species